UGGGGCUACACUGGCCAGACGCCUCUCUUUCAUUGGGACACCCUACUGGAUGGCUCCGGAAGUGGCAGCUGUGGCCCUGAAGGGAGGAUACAAUGAGCUGUGUGACAUCUGGUCCCUGGGCAUCACGGCCAUCGAACUGGCCGAGCUACAGCCACCGCUCUUUGAUGUGCACCCUCUCAGCAUCAACUGGUAUCCCAGCCUGGGCUGAAUCGAGGCCUGAUCCUGGAUCUUCUUGACAAACUGAAGAAUCCCGGGAAAGGACCCUCCAUUGGGGACAUUGAGGAUGAGGAGCCCGAGCUACCCCCUGCUAUCCCUCGGCGGAUCAGAUCCACCCACCGCUCCAGCUCUCUGGGGAUCCCAGAUGCAGACUGCUGUCGGCGGCACAUGGAGUUCAGGAAGCUCCGAGGAAUGGAGACCAGACCCCCAGCCAACACCGCUCGCCUACAGCCUCCUCGAGACCUCAGGAGCAGCAGCCCCAGGAAGCAACUGUCAGAGUCGUCUGACGAUGACUAUGACGACGUGGACAUCCCCACCCCUGCAGAGGACACACCUCCUCC
rnacentral:misc_RNA from 1 species